AAGUCGUAACAAGGUCUCCGUAGGUGAACCUGCGGAGGGAUCAUUAACACGUUUCUUACAACGUUUCCAUACCAAAUUGUGAGCAUGAUGAAUCAAUACUAUCUCGACCCGAACAGGAGCAGAUGCGCUUGUCUGUGUCGCACUGACAUGAUUGGGAAAGUGGCUUCGUCACUUUCCAGUGCGAUCAGACGUUUUGACUGGGCACGUCGCAAGACGUGGUACUGUCAAAGGCCUCUCUUUUGUUUGGGCUUUUACCAUUUCUUACUUACUUCCCACCAUCAUUGGAAGUAAGUGAGAAGCACAAACCCCUUUCACCCCUUUAUAACCACCUGACUGAAAACUUUUGACCCGAUCAUGUAACAGUGUUCGUCUCAAAACCAUAAUCAACAUAUCAAAAGCACAACUCUUAGCAACGGAUAUCUUGGUUCUC
rnacentral:misc_RNA from 1 species